rnacentral:lncRNA from 1 species
CCGCUACAGAAGUUCGGUCGGAGUCUGGUUCCCGUAGAAGUCCGGAUGGGGAUCAUUUGUUGAGGAAGCUCGAUCGAAGCCUGUCUGCAAUAGAAGUCCGAAAGGAAUUCGUUCACAAGGGAAGCUCGGGUGGAGGCUUACAGUAGAAAUCUGACGCGGACCGCUCGUAGUAGAAAUUUGAAGUAGACCGCUUGUAGUAGUAGCUCGGAGUAGAUCGCUUGUAGCAGAAGCUCGGAGUAGAUCGCUUGUAGCAGAAGCUCGAUGUAGAUCGCUUGUGGUGGGGGCUCGGAGUCCGACCCUUAUAAGAAUUC